rnacentral:rRNA from 1 species
CCUACGGGGGACUGCAGUGGGGAAUAUUGGACAAUGGGGGCAACCCUGAUCCAGCCAUGCCGCGUGUGUGAAGAAGGCCCUCGGGUUGUAAAGCACUUUCAGUGAGGAAGAACGCCUGGUGGUUAAUACCCAUCAGGAAAGACAUCACUCACAGAAGAAGCACCGGCUAACUCCGUGCCAGCAGCCGCGGUAAUACGGAGGGUGCGAGCGUUAAUCGGAAUUACUGGGCGUAAAGCGCGCGUAGGUGGCUUGAUAAGCCGGUUGUGAAAGCCCCGGGCUCAACCUGGGAACGGCAUCCGGAACUGUCAAGCUAGAGUGCAGGAGAGGAAGGUAGAAUUCCCGGUGUAGCGGUGAAAUGCGUAGAGAUCGGGAGGAAUACCAGUGGCGAAGGCGGCCUUCUGGACUGACACUGACACUGAGGUGCGAAAGCGUGGGUAGCAAACAGGAUUAGAUACCCUGGUAGUC